rnacentral:rRNA from 1 species
UACGUAGGGGGCAAGCGUUGUCCGGAUUUAUUGGGCGUAAAGCGCACGCAGGCGGUCUCUUAAGUUUCGAGUGACAGGUCAGGGCUUAACCCUGGCAGGUCUUGGAAAACUGGGGGACUUGAGGGCUUCAGAGGGACGCGGAAUUCCAGGUGGAGCGGUGAAAUGCGUAGAGAUCUGGAGGAACACCAGUGGCGAAGGCGGCCACCUAGCCCGCACCUGACGCUGAGGCGCGACAGCGUGGGGAGCGAACUGG